rnacentral:rRNA from 1 species
UACGUAGGGACCGAGCGUUGUCCGGAAUCAUUGGGCGUAAAGAGCGUGUAGGCGGCUAUUUAAGUCCUGCGUGAAAUCCUGCGGCUCAACCGCAGACGGUCGUGGGAAACUGGAUGGCUAGAGUGCGGGAGAGGAGAGUGGAAUUCCCGGUGUAGCGGUGAAAUGCGCAAAUAUCGGGAAGAACACCCGUGGCGAAGGCGGCUCUCUGGGCCGGUACUGACACUGAGGAGCGAAAGCGUGGGGAGCAAACAGG